rnacentral:rRNA from 1 species
UACAGAGGGGGCAAGCGUUGUUCGGAAUUACUGGGCGUAAAGGGCGCGUAGGCGGCCUGCUAAGUCGAACGUGAAAUCCCCAGGCUUAACCGGGGAACUGCGUCCGAUACUGGCAGGCUUGAAUCCGGGAGAGGGAUGUGGAAUUCCAGGUGUAGCGGUGAAAUGCGUAGAUAUCUGGAGGAACACCGGUGGCGAAGGCGGCAUCCUGGACCGGCAUUGACGCUGAGGCGCGAAAGCUAGGGGAGCAAACAGG